rnacentral:rRNA from 1 species
AGUGAACGCUGGCGGCGUGCUUAACACAUGCAAGUCGAACGGAAUGAGGUUGCUUGCAACUUCAUUUAGUGGCGCACGGGUGAGUAACGCGUAGAUAAUCUGCCUGAUGAUCUGGGAUAACACUUCGAAAGGGGUGCUAAACCGGAUAAGCCCACGGAGACUUUGGUUUUUGCGGGAAAAGGGGGGGACCAUUUGGCCUUCUGUCAUCAGAUGAGUAUGCGUACCAUUAGCUAGUUGGUAGGGUAAAGGCCUACCAAGGCUAGGAUGGUUAGCUGGGCUGAGAGGAGGAGCGCCCACACGGGAACUGAGACGCGGUCCAGACUCCUACGGGAGGCAGCAGUGGGGAAUUUUGCGAAGUGGGCGGAAGCCUGACGCAGCAACGCCGCGUGAGUGAUGAAGGCUUUCGUGUCGUAAAGCUCUGUCGAGGGGAAAGAAGUGUACUUUGGUUAAUACCCAUUGUACUUGACGGUACCCCUAAAGGAAGCACCGGCUAACUCCGUGCCAGCCGCCGCAGUAAAAC